ACGGAAGGCAGCAGUGGGGAAUAUUGCACAAUGGGGGAAACCCUGAUGCAGCGACGCCGCGUGAGUGAAGAAGUAUUUCGGUAUGUAAAGCUCUAUCAGCAGGAAAGAAAAUGACGGUACCUGACUAAGAAGCCCCGGCUAACUACGUGCCAGCAGCCGCGGUAAUACGUAGGGGGCAAGCGUUAUCCGGAUUUACUGGGUGUAAAGGGAGCGUAGACGGCGAUGCAAGUCUGAAGUGAAAGCCCAAGGCUCAACCAUGGGACUGCUUUGGAAACUGUAUUGCUAGAGUGCAGGAGAGGUAAGUGGAAUUCCUAGUGUAGCGGUGAAAUGCGUAGAUAUUAGGAGGAACACCAGUGGCGAAGGCGGCUUGCUGGACUGUAACUGACGUUGAGGCUCGAAAGCGUGGGGAGCAAACAGGAUUAGAUACCCUGGUA
rnacentral:rRNA from 1 species